rnacentral:rRNA from 1 species
GACGUAGGGCGCGAGCGUUGUCCGGAUUUAUUGGGCGUAAAGAGCGUGUAGGCGGCCAGGUAGGUCUGCUGUGAAAACUCGAGGCUCAACCUCGAGACGUCGGCGGAAACCAUCUGGCUAGAGUGCGGAAGAGGGUCGUGGAAUUCCCAGUGUAGAGGUGAAAUUCGUAGAUAUUGGGAAGAACACCGGUGGCGAAGGCGGCGACCUGGUCCGAUACUGACGCUGAGGCGCGAAAGCGUGGGGAGCAAACAGG